UGCAUUGGAUUUUGCCAAACCAGUCUACAUGUGAUUUGUGGACUUAGGGAAGGCUUUCGAUCUUGUCCCUCGGGGAGUCCUGUGGGCCGAGCUUCGGGAGUAUGGGGUACUGAACCCCCUGAUAUGGGCUACUUGGUCCUUGUACAAUCGGUGUACAUUAUUAUCCAAUUAGUGUGGGGCACGGUGGAGUGACUCGUUAGAAUGUUAGCCUCAUAGUACUGAGGCCAUGGGUUCAAAACCUGACUGCACCUGUGUGGAGUUCGCACAUUCUCACCAUGGCUGCUGCCCUGCGAUUGGAUUGCAAACAUUUCAGGGUGUAUGACGCCUCCUGCCCGAAGUCAGCUGGGAUAGGUUUCAGCACUGCUGCGACCCUGGCCCUUGUUGUAGUGGUGAAUAUAUUUAUCAACAUUUCUUGACAAAGUAGCAUUAAUAUUGACAAAAGACACACACCAACAUCAGGAGAUGCACUAUGAUUUAAACCACUAACAAAGUCUGUCUUUAAGAUAUUCCUUGAGGAUGAUUAAGCAAGCUGUAGAUCAACAUGCGCAAAGCUAUUCUUCUCGCCCCUCUCUUCCCCCUCCCACCUCUGUGACCUCCGUCAGGAACAACAUGAUUUAUCACACCAAUAUCCCCUUCAGCACUUUCCUGAUUGCUUUGAUUCCUCUAUUGACA